ensembl:snoRNA U3 Small nucleolar RNA U3
AGGACUGUACUUUCAAGGAUCAUUUCUAUAGUUUAUUACUAAAGAAGUUUCUCUGAACAUAUAAAGCAAAACAUUUUUUAAGAAGAAAAAAUAGACCAGAUGCCAUGGCUCACACUUGUAGUCCCAGCACUUUGGUAGGCUGAGGUAG